rnacentral:rRNA from 1 species
CUACGGGCGGCUGCAGUGGGGAAUAUUGCACAAUGGGCGAAAGCCUGAUGCAGCCAUGCCGCGUGUGUGAAGAAGGCCUUCGGGUUGUAAAGCACUUUCAGUAGGGAGGAAAGGGUGUACGUUAAUACCGUGCAUCUGUGACGUUACCUACAGAAGAAGCACCGGCUAACUCCGUGCCAGCAGCCGCGGUAAUACGGAGGGUGCGAGCGUUAAUCGGAAUUACUGGGCGUAAAGCGUGUGUAGGCGGUUAUUUAAGCGAGAUGUGAAAUCCCGGGGCUCAACCUCGGAACUGCAUUUCGAACUGGAUGACUAGAGUUUUGUAGAGGGUGGUGGAAUUUCCAGUGUAGCGGUGAAAUGCGUAGAGAUUGGAAGGAACAUCAGUGGCGAAGGCGGCCACCUGGACAAAAACUGACGCUGAGACACGAAAGCGUGGGGAGCAAACAGGAUUAGAUACCCUUGUAGUC